GAUGAACGCUGGCGGCGUGCCUAAUACAUGCAAGUCGAACGAAACUUCUUUAUCACCGAGUGCUUGCACUCACCGAUAAAGAGUUGAGUGGCGAACGGGUGAGUAACACGUGGGCAACCUGCCCAAAAGAGGGGGAUAACACUUGGAAACAGGUGCUAAUACCGCAUAACCAUAGUUACCGCAUGGUAACUAUGUAAAAGGUGGCUAUACUACCGCUUUUGGAUGGGCCCGCGGCGCAUUAGCUAGUUGGUAGGGUAAAGGCUUACCAAGGCAAUGAUGCGUAGCCGAAUUGAGAGGUUGAUCGGCCACAUUGGGACUGAGACACGGCCCAAACUCCUACGGGAGGCAUCAGUAGGGAAUCUUCCACAAUGGGCGAAAGCCUGAUGGAGCAACGCCGCGUGGGUGAAGAAGGUCUUCGGAUCGUAAAACCCUGUUGUUAGAGAAGAAAGUGCGUGAGAGUAACUGUUCACGUUUCGACGGUAUCUAACCAGAAAGCCACGGCUAACUACGUG
rnacentral:rRNA from 1 species